rnacentral:rRNA from 1 species
ACUCCUACGGGAGGCAGCAGUGGGGAAUAUUGCACAAUGGGCGAAAGCCUGAUCCAGCCAUGCCGCGUGUGUGAAGAAGGUCUUCGGAUUGUAAAGCACUUUAAGUUGGGAGGAAGGGCAGUAACUUAAUACGUUGCUGUUUUGACGUUACCGACAGAAUAAGCACCGGCUAACUCUGUGCCAGCAGCCGCGGUAAU